rnacentral:sRNA from 1 species
GCUGAGCAUAGUGGCGCAUGCCUGUAAUCCCAGUGGCUCAGGAGGCUGAGGCAGGAGGAUUGCAAGUUCAAAGCCAGCCUCAGCAAAAGCAAGAUGUUAAGCAACUCAGUGAGACCUUGUCUCUA